UAAUGUCUGGUGACACUGCCUCAUGGACGGCGAUAACUACUGGAAACGGUAGCCAAUACCGCCCAACGUCGCAAGACCAAAGAGGGGGACCUUCGGGCCUCUUGCCAUCGGAUGUGCCCAGAUGGGAUUAGCUAGUAGGUGGGGUAACGGCUCACCUAGGCGACGAUCCCUAGCUGAGUCUGAGAGCAUGACCAGCCACACUGGAAACUGAGACACGGUCCAGACUCCUACGGGAGGCACCAGUGGGGAAUAUUGCACAAUGCGGCGCAAGCCUGAUGCAACCCAUGCCGCGUGUAUGAACGAAGGCCUUCGACUUGUCCAGUACUUUCACCACAGAGGCAAGGCGAUAAGGUUAAUAACCUUGUCGAUUGACGUUACCCGCAGAAGAAGCACCGGCUAACUCCGUGCCAGCAGCCGCGGUAAUACGGAGGGUGCAAGCGUUAAUCGAAAAUUACUG
rnacentral:rRNA from 1 species